AGAAACAACCAGAUAAACCCACAAAUCAAAAUAUUACGAAACAAGAUCAAUCUAAUGAAGAAAUCAUAGUGAUACUACCCAAUGAAAUUGAUGAAGUCGUUGUUGUGAAUCAGCCAGAAGAAGCUGCUGAAGAAAUAGUUGUGGUAAGUAUCUAAUAUUGAAAUUCAACUAUAGAAACAACAAUACCACUUUCAUAGACACAUUCAUAACAUCAUUGACUUUAUUAUUAAAACUAUUUUAUUUG